CUCAUAAAUACAAACCUCUUCACUUCCAUCAUCGUCCUCAUCAUCAUCAUGUACCUCAGACUUGGACUUGUCAGAUUCCUCAUCAUCAGCAUCACCAGCAGCCUGUUUUUUUGUUAUAUGCAUCCAUGUUCUUUUGGUACUCAGCCUUCCUCUUCUCAGCCUUGGCUUGGUAAGGUGCUUUCUCCUAAAACAAGUUAACAAACAAAGCUGAACUUCAGUACAUAAUUCGAUUGAAGACAAAACGCAUUAAGUCAAAAGUCAAUUUGAAUAGAACUUUUCUGUAUAUGAUUGAGGCUUAUACUCACUUCAUCUGACAACUG